rnacentral:rRNA from 1 species
CUACGGGUGGCUGCAGUGAGGAAUAUUGGACAAUGGGGGAAACCCUGAUCCAGCAAUGCCGCGUGAAUGAAGAAGGCCUUAGGGUUGUAAAGUUCUUUCACCCGUGAAGAUGAUGACGGUAACGGGAGAAGAAGCCCCGGCUAACUCUGUGCCAGCAGCCGCGGUAAGACAGAGGGGGCUAGCGUUGUUCGGAAUAACUGGGCGUAAAGGGUGCGUAGGCGGUUGUUUAAGUAAAGUGUUAAAGCCCUGGGCUCAACCCAGGAAUCGCAUUUUAAACUGGACAGCUAGAGUGUGGUAGAGGAAAGUGGAAUUUCUAGUGUAGAGGUGGAAUUCGUAGAUAUUAGAAGGAACACCAGAGGCGAAGGCGGCUUUCUGGACCACAACUGACGCUGAGGCACGAAAGCGUGGGGAGCAAACAGGAUUAGAUACCCUCGUAGUC